rnacentral:rRNA from 1 species
CACGUAGGGCGCAAGCGUUGUCCGGAAUUACUGGGCGUAAAGGGCUCGUAGGCGGCCAACUAAGUCGGACGUGAAAUCCCUCGGCUUAACCGGGGAACUGCGUCCGAUACUGGAUGGCUUGAGUUCGGGAGAGGGAUGCGGAAUUCCAGGUGUAGCGGUGAAAUGCGUAGAGAUCCGGAGGAACACCGACGGCGUAGGCAGCGCCCUAGACGAGACCUGACGCUCAGGCACGAAAGCGCGGGGAGCGAACAGG